GAUGAACGCUGACAGAAUGCUUAACACAUGCAAGUCGAUGGGGAAGUGGUGCUUGCACCCUGGCAACCAUGGCGGACGGGUGAGUAACGCGUAAGGGACUUACCUGCAGGACUGGGAUAACAGGGGGAAACUCCUGACAAGACCGGAUAAUGUCAUGGAGCUGCAUGGCUUUAUGAUGAAAGGAGACGCCUGCGGAGAGCCUUGCGUCCUAUUAGCUAGUUGGUGAGGUAAUGGCUCACCAAGGCGAAGAUAGGUAGCCGGCCUGAGAGGGUGGACGGCCACAAGGGGACUGAGAUACGGCCCUUACUCCUACGGGAGGCAGCAGUGGGGAAUAUUGGACAAUGGGGGCAACCCUGAUCCAGCAAUUCUGUGUGCACGAAGAAGGUUUUCGGAUUGUAAAGUGCUUUCAGCAGGGAAGAAGGAAGUGACGGUACCUGCAGAAGAAGCGACGGCUAAAUACGUG
rnacentral:rRNA from 1 species